AGUGAACGCUGGCGGUAGGCCUAACACAUGCAAGUCGAACGGCAGCACAGUAAGAGCUUGCUCUUACGGGUGGCGAGUGGCGGACGGGUGAGGAAUACAUCGGAAUCUACUUUUUCGUGGGGGAUAACGUAGGGAAACUUACGCUAAUACCGCAUACGACCUACGGGUGAAAGCAGGGGAUCUUCGGACCUUGCGCGAUUGAAUGAGCCGAUGUCGGAUUAGCUAGUUGGCGGGGUAACGGCCCACCAAGGCGACGAUCCGUAGCUGGUCUGAGAGGAUGAUCAGCCACACUGGAAAUGAGACACGGUCCAGACUCCUACGGGAGGCAGCAGUGGGGAAUAUUGGACAAUGGGCGCAAGCCUGAUCCAGCCAUACCGCGUGGGUGAAGAAGGCCUUCGGGUUGUAAAGCCCUUUUGUUGGGAAAGAAAAGCAGCAGGUUAAUACCCCGCUGUUCUGACGGUACCCAAUGAAUAAGCACCGGCUAACUUCGUG
rnacentral:rRNA from 1 species